UACGUAGGGUGCGAGCGUUGUCCGGAAUUAUUGGGCGUAAAGAGCUCGUAGGCGGCUUGCCACGUCUGCCGUGAAAACCAGCAGCUUAACUGUUGCUUGCGGUUGAUACGGGUUGGCUGGAGUUCGGUAGGGGAGACUGGAAUUCCUGGUGUAGCGGUGAAAUGCGCAGAUAUCAGGAGGAACACCGGUGGCGAAGGCGGCUUCCUGGACUAAUACUGACGCUGAGGUGCGAAAGCGUGGGGAGCAAACAGG
rnacentral:rRNA from 1 species